UUUGCUUAAUGUAACAUCCAAGCAAAUUAUUGAGUUAAAAGUUCAAUUGAGUAAUAACGUUGCCAUUUCGAGUAUAACAGAGUUGCACUUUCACCACACCACAAUAUUAGUGCUGUAAACGGCCGGCAGUUGAGCAUACCCACUGGCGACUGGAGCGACUGAGAUAAAUAUACAAUAGACACAGAGCGAGAUAAGUAUAUAGACUAACGCUGUAAACUCAACACAGCCGUGCCGUGCCGACGAACGAAAGAGCGCACAAAGCGUAAUGUGAAAGAAUUGAAAAAAUCAUCAAGUAUAGAGGCCAAAAGCAAACGCAGCAGUUGGGCGAAUUUUAAUAUUUUUGAUUAAUAAUUCAAAGUAUCGCAUGCUAGCUGCAUUAACAAGAAAGUGAAUGCACGCGGCAAAUAUAUUGCGGUAAGAUAAACAGCCAAACUGAACAGCAAAUAGCCAAAAAAUUCAAAGAAGCGACGACGACCAACCAACCAACACUAACAUACAUACAUACUCCGACAUACACGCACGCACAUACACACACAGACACUCUCCAGUGAAAAAGUGCAAGCCGCGAGCGCUUUUGAAGGCGUGAAACGCAGAUCAGCUUCCAAGUAAAGUAAUCAAGCGCAGAGAGGGCAUGAAAAUUUGAUUGGGAGUCUUGCUAUGGCCAGAUGCUGAUGUUUGCAAACACAUUUCCGUGUUUUUAGGAAGGCAACAUCGAACGGCAAACGGCACUUGCCGACGACUGCUGCGACCGCGAUAGAGCCCAUAUUCACACACACACACGCGCACUCACACAACACACAUACAGACAAGCACGCCCGCAAAUACAGUGAAACACGCAACAGCAGCGCCACAACACACACACACAUCUACACACCCGCGCGAUCCGCCGUGUGGAGCAGGACCCACAGGAACGGAGGAAGUGAGGCAUAUACAGGGAAAAAGGCCCGGCAGCCAGGCAACGCAGCGCUGCCGCCAUUAUCUUGAAGAUAGCAAAAGGGAACACCACAAGUUGAUGCCACUGCCGAAUCCUGACAUCGUUGCUGUCGUCGUCGGCCAGGAGCCCCGAACUGAAUAGAAACAUCAACAACAACAAUAACAAUAACAAGAGAAGCGUAUUGGCGAAAACUUUGCAUUGAUGGUAAUGCAUGCUAGAAAACCGCAGCGUAUGAACGAUGGGUACUUUGAGAAGCAUACCAGUCACACAUCCUACCAGAGCUCAAAGUACAGCAGUUCAAAGCGCGACUAUGAACGCGAUCGUUCUUCCAACUAUCGCGAUCGCGACAUUUCGCCUGGCGGUGCUGGUGCCGGCGGAGGCGGUGGAGGAGGCGGCAGCGGUGGUGGCGGCCCAUUGAAUAAUGGCAACAGCUAUCGCUCACAAUCACCGGACAUAGAUUCGCCAUCAUCGCGCUCGCAUGAUCUGCGCGAGCGCACCGAUCAUCGCAGUGGUGGAGGAGGCGGCGGCGGCGGCGGGGGCGGCGGUGGUGGUAGCAACGAGCGCUACAGUUUCAUACAAAAGAUGCGCGAUCGGGAUCGCGAUGUCUACAAAAAGGACAAAUAUUCCGGUAGCUAUAAACGUGAUCGACGCGGCAAUGAUCGCGACUCGGAGUCAUCGUAUCGCACGAAUCACGACAGGGAUCGUCGUGGUGGCGGCGGCGCUAAGCUUUGCUCAUCGCGCGAAAACGACAAGCGCUCCGGCUCCGACGAUCGGGAUCGAGAGCGCGAGCGUGACUUGCGUGAUAAGCGUGACAGGGGCGCCGAUCGCGAUCGGGACAUGUACAAGAAGGACAAAUAUGCAGACAAACGCGAGCGCAGCGAUCGCGGCGAGCGUGUGGCGCGCUAUGGCGACUGGAGCGAGCAUGUCAGCUCUUCUGGCAAAAUGUAUUACUACAACUGCAAAACUGAAGUCUCCCAGUGGGAGAAGCCUAAGGAAUGGGUAGAUAGAGAAAGAAAUUUGCCGCGAGAUCAGCAUCGUGAGAAGGACUAUCGCGAUAAGGAUCGGGAACGAGAUCGCGAUGAUCGCUUCUCAAGAUCGACAUACAAACAUUCCAAUUCUUCGCGCGACAAUUCACGACUGAGAUGGAAUUAUGACAACGAUGGCGGUCCGCCCAGCCAUCGAAGGCGUUUGGAUGGUCGACAUAACGAUAAUGCUGAUAUGGACAUCAGCGGCGACUCAACGCCCACCUCGGAGGCCAGUUAUUCGUUAAGCGGCACACCCACCACACAUGGCGGCAGCGUGGGAGGUGGCAUGCAGGCUAGCGAACAGUCGUCUCUAAUGCCGCAGGGCGUGUUGGCGGGCGCAUUGGGCAAUGCACUGCCACGACUGGCCUCUCAUCCAAAUCCCAGCGCAGUGGUUACUCCCAUGGGGGCGCAUUACGGUGCCGUCGGAGUGGGCGGCACUGGUGGCGGCGGCGGUGGCGGACCGGUGAGCGGAGCUACAAUGUUGCCUACCAGCGGAUUGGCCUCGGUGCCGUCCAACAUUGCCAACAGCAGCAACAGCAGCCUUAGAAACUCAGUUGUCGGCCACAUUGGCUCAACGUCAAGCACUACUGUGCCGACGCUGGCGAAUCAGGAGAAUCAUCUGAACUCGAAUGCGCCCGGGCCGCCUGGCAAAUUGCUCAGCGCUGGUAAGGAUCAGGCGACGCUGAUGAUGCGACAGAAGCUACAUUUAGUCCUUGGCGGCAUUGAUACGCCGCAUCAUCAUUUGCUUCUCGGCAGCAUCGCCAGCGGUGGGGGCCUAACGGGCGCCGGCAGUGGCUCAGCAGCCGAUGUCGUUAAUCAUGCCUACAACUCGCUCCACAAUGUGACUGCCAGCACCUUAAACAGCUUAAGGGACAGCAACCAACUCAACUCACCAAUGUGCAUGCCGCAUGCCCAUCAUAGUCUGUCGCCAUCGCUGAGCUAUACAAAGAGUCCCAUACCAACGAUCGUGAGUCACACGAACAAUGUGAACGCCAGCAAUGCCUACACCUGCAAUGCGCCGUUCGGCCUCAAGACGGUGGCAGAUGGGCUUGCCGUUGGCGUUGGCGUGGUGUCCUCCUCACCGGCGACAAAUGCGAUCGGCAAUAGUAAUGCCAUCGCUAGCAGCAGCAACAGCAACAGCUGCAACGUACCCGGGCUGGGCACUGUCAGCGGCAUCAGCGUCAUCACCUCCAUGGGUAGCAACAGUCUGUGCGGCAGUGCAGUGGCGCUUGGCGACGGGCCGCCAACGCCAACGCAAGAAUUAGAUUUAAGUGGUUCAGCUUUAGAACAACACCAACAGGUGGCUGCCGCCGCAGCCGCUGCCGCAGCAGCUCUAGCAGCGGCCCAAGUGACGCAACAGCAGGCGGCACAACAAGCCCAACAGCAGCGCAAACUCGAUGGCACUGGUUCGGGCACGCUAAGCACACUGCAGAGCUGUGUGGCCUCAGUGCAGGCGGCCAAUCUGCGUGGCCCGGAAAUAUCACCCAAGCUAGCCAAGUACUUUCGCGCUGAUUUAAUUGCGCACGUGACCAACUGGCAGGCGGAAGUAUUGGAGCGCCAGGCGCAGAAAUGCUGCGAGGACACGCAUCUGUUUGGGGACAUCACCUGCACACGGAUAUGCGCUGAACUGAAAUGUGCGCGCAGUUUAGUGCGGAGCACUGAGAUCAAUGCCACGCUGCAGGAACAAAAAAUCAUGUAUCUGCGCCAGCAAAUUCGCCGAAUUGAGGAGUCGAAGACUCAGAACGCGUUCAUGUCGGACGAUACUUAGGAUCAGGAGCAAGUUAGGCUGCGCGUGCAUCGCAAGCUGUCUGUCAGGCUCAAAAAGAGCACAUUUUGGCGCAGCUGAUGAUGAUGAUAGCAAUGCCCCACUAAACCCACGCAGAUGAGUGGCUUAUCUCAUCUGUUACGCUCAUCCGAUGCAGAUCCCAAUGAUGAGGCAUCGCAACUUGAGCAGGGUGGAGCAGGGCAAUUAACACGUGCAUCCUUCUUUGUUGGCGGCGGGCAUACUCCUUGGUGACACUGGUGUCGGCGUCUGUGCUAGUGGCAGGCAACAGGUGCUGAACAAAUAUUGGUCGCCGAGCAGGUAACAUCAACAAUGGAGUUGCUGCAGCGACAACAAAACGGAAACGGAAACAAACAAACAACAAACAAAUAACAAACAAACAACAAACAAACAAAAACAACAAACAAACAAACAACAUGAUGAUGAAGAGAAGAACACAUGAAACUAAAACAUAACUAAUAAUUAGCAACGCGUAAUUUAUAACUUAAAUAAGCAUGAAGCGCAGCGGCAAUGUUGAGCUUAUGUUGCCGUUAUCUAAAUCAACAAACAAACAAACAAACAAACAUACAAAAACACCAAUAACAAUCGAAACAAUAUUGCAAAACUAAUUGAAAACAAACAGAGACUAUGGACAAAAAAACAAAGCCCAAAACGAAACCAACCCAAGAAGCAAUAAGAAAGAAGCCUCCUCGUAUCGAAUCGAAUUAACAAAACAAAAAAAGAAAACAAAGAAAACAAAACACCAACAACAAACAAGAAUCUAUUCAUUACAGAUUUCACAAUAUUAAUAUCCAUAAAAACUCAACACACAACACACACACCCCCACAGAUACACACACACACAUAAGCGCCUGGCCGAACAGGCUUCAUUUCUAGCUUCCUAGUUCUUAUGCGAAAAUGUAUUUAUUUUUUUCUUGAAAUUGAAUUUGCAUACACUUGUUUUUUUUUACGCAUUAUUUUUACAAUUUUUUUUUAAAUUAAAAUAUAAAUUAAUAUAUAUUAAAACAAUAUAUAUAUAUAUAUAUAAAUAUAUAAAAGUAAUUUGUCUUAUUUAAGCAAGCUGAAGAAGAGAAAGAACACCCAACACUGCACGCGUAUGUUAGUGUAAUUUGAGUUUUUAAAUUUAACUUGUCUAAACGUAAAAGAGGAAUACGAAAAACAAAAACAAAAAAAACAAACAAAACAAA